AGCGAAGUCGGUAAUCAGCGUCCCGACUUGAGCGUCGGGAAGGUCGCAAGUUCGAAUCUUGCCAUCC
rnacentral:tRNA from 2 species